GGCUACCUAGCGCAAUGGUAGCGCGUUUGGCUUCGAUGCCGAGCGGCUACUUACGUCAUAUUGAUUACGUAAAAUUGAUACCAAAAGGUUGCAGGUUCGAUCCCUGCGGUGGUCA